rnacentral:lncRNA from 1 species
GAACUGACCUGACCUGUUAACCUCUCCCAACCCACUGUAUGUAGUAAUUCUACUGCAUACAAAGGAGUUCAAUACCAAGAACACAUUCAUAAAUCCAGUUCAUUUGUAAGUCCAACAAGGUUAGCCUAGGUACCCAACUAUCAGGAUCAGCUAUACACUACUGUGUUGUAAUAGGUUUAUAAUACUGUUCACACAAAUAAUACACACAAAGAAACACACAAAAAUAAAAAUAAUGUUUUUAAUCUUACAGUACAAUUCCUUGAAAACUACAGUAAUACAGUACAACAGCUGGCUUACAGGAGCUGGCAAGAAGGACAAGUAAGAAGAGUUCCUGAUGGAGUUGGGAGAGGAGAAGGACCACUGUGGGCUUAGGAAUUAACGCUCAGUUGCCUGGACUCAGCACUGAGUUGUGUUCUAAAGGAGGAAGAAGAGAGUCAGGUGAGCAAAGCAUCAUAGAUACAGGGGAUAACAUGAGCAAGAGUGAGGCGCAAAGC